GGGGAUAUAGCUCAGUUUGUAGAGUGCUUGCCUUGCAUGCACGUAGCCCUGGGUUCAAUCCCCAGCACCACCA
rnacentral:tRNA from 1 species